GACGAACGCUGGCGGCGUGCUUAACAUAUGCAAGUCGAACGGAAAGGCCCUGCUUUUGUGGGGUGCUCGAGUGGCGAACGGGUGAGUAACACGUGAGUAACCUGCCCUUGACUUUGGGAUAACUUCAGGAAACUGGGGCUAAUACCGGAUAGGAGCUCCUGCUGCAUGGUGGGGGUUGGAAAGUUUCGGCGGUUGGGGAUGGACUCGCGGCUUAUCAGCUUGUUGGUGGGGUAGUGGCUUACCAAGGCUUUGACGGGUAGCCGGCCUGAGAGGGUGACCGGCCACAUUGGGACUGAGAUACGGCCCAGACUCCUACGGGAGGCAGCAGUGGGGAAUAUUGCACAAUGGGCGGAAGCCUGAUGCAGCAACGCCGCGUGCGGGAUGACGGCCUUCGGGUUGUAAACCGCUUUCGCCUGUGACGAAGCGUGAGUGACGGUAAUGGGUAAGAAGCACCGGCUAACUACGUG
rnacentral:rRNA from 1 species